UGCCAAGCAAUACUACUGACGAGAAGGAGCCCAGGUUUUCUGCUACUUCUUUCUUCAUUGUAGCGCGGAACUGAGUUCAAAACUCACUUCUUCUAGCAUGAUGUUUUCAAAAGAGUUGGGAAUCAAGCGGGGAGCGAUUCUAUCUUCCGUCAAGGUUUGUCGAGUGAAGGAUGGGUGGGCUUCUACUCUACUGCAAACGCAGUCGUCAGUCUGUCAAGGUUCAAGGCGGUCGGCAGGAAGCGCUAGCUCCGACGUUUGAAGAAGACAUUUUCUGAACUGGAAAUUGUUACCGGUAUUUCAAAUACUGGUACCUGCUUCCGAAGGACAUGUCGUGCUACUUGAAGACAAUUUCUCCACGGUUUGGAGUCGUCAGACGUCACUCACUCCCGGAGCGGGUUUUCAGGUUCUGCUGAAUUCGAGGCGUGGUGAAGCGGAAGCACGGGAACCAGGGGACGCGCACCUCGCCUGUGUGCGAGGAAGGAAGCAUGGGUCUGGAGUCCGGAUGCUGGAAGCGUUGAGCUGACAUGAGCAAUUUUCAGUGGUAUUUGAUAUCCUAGCUGCCAAUGAUAAUUGUUAUUCCUGGCGGCUCUACAAAUUCUGCAUGCCGGUUGAAUUCCACGGUGUCCCCUUCCAUGCACUCGGCUAUCAUGUCCUGGAGUGUCCGUUCGGAAAGGAAGGACGUCGUGCAGCAUCUAAACGGGUUCAAGAAAGGAGGGAUGCAUAGUGACGGUGACUACUCAGUCCCUGGAGAAACGGUCUCUCACAUCACCAAUCCAGCACAGUGGACCGUAGCUAUGCACAUAUCAGCCCAUGAAGCAUGCUGAGAAGAACCUGGUCUAGACGGCCAUGGCGUCGGCAGGGAAGCGGGACGACAUGAGUAUGCACUUUCCGCCAGUUUCCAAGGCAACAGUAUGGCAGUACAAAGCCGGUAAAGUUGAGUUCUGCUCUGUUUUACUUUCUCUUUUCGUUCGUCCCUCUUGAUAUUUGUACUUCGUACUGUUGAGGCAACGAACUGAACUAAUAAAAACCAAACCAAACCAUGUACUGUGUGCGUGGCCUGCACUAAGGCGUCGGUUUUAGCUACUUGUUGUCCAUAACAUCAGCAUUGUAAGACAUGCUACUGAUACUUCUUGAAGCUGCCAGUGCAGUGAAGUUUCCUGUCAUUUGUUUUGAAUUUGAAUUUUUUGAUUUGGGCUUCGUUUGGAUUUGAACUCGCCUUAGGGUUAUGCGCGUGGUAGUCCUCACACCUUGUGUCGCCGUUUAAGCAUGGGAUUACGACAUGUCUACAUGUUUUGAGCAAUGUAUCCUUACUCCAGUA